UUCCCGUUUAGCCACUUCCUGGCUCUGCAGAAAAACGAGACAGACAUGUAAUCCACUCCAUCCACUAUGAAGCAUCAUAGAAGCAAUACCUAUCAGGAAUGACUGAGACAGACACUGGACUGUCCUGGGCGAGCACAGACGCCCUGAGCUCUUCUCUGCAUGUGGAAUGGACUGGAUUUGAGCAGGUCUGGCAGACGCUGACGGACGUUUCCGGAGCUUCCUCCGAGGAUUCGUCACCGAGGGCAGAGCGAAAUCGUGGCACAUCUCAAGCUGAUGUUUUGAAAUACCUUGACAAAUGUAGAUGGUGGUCAGCUGUUCUGUCAUCCUCCAUCAAAAGUCCAUCUGUUCUGAUUCCGAAAUUGAGGCUUCCUCCAGCUCAUUAAGUUCCAUCAUUCCACAAUUCCAGAAAACACCAUAAUUAAUUUCCCAGGCGAUGUUUGUGAAGAAAAAGAAUGUUAGGGAGGCCCUGACAGGUGGGAUGUUUGCAGCCAGCUGUUUCCGUGGGCUGACGCUUCACGGAUGCUCAGCCAAGCUGAAGGAUAUCUGGGAGAGCAUUAAACAAAGUGACAUGCAGAAUGACUGCAUUCGCUGUCGGAAAGGCACAUGCUGUUUGCUUCUCACGCACCCUUUGCAGAGCCAAGUGGGCAAAGGCCUGGAUUCAAUCGACGUUCGUCCUUAAGUUUGACUUAUAAACAAGAGCUUUCUGUCCCAAGUGCCCGUACAGAGACUGGGGGAAAAAAAGGCAUUUAUGUAUUCUGUACCUUCGGACUGGAAUAAGUUACAAAAUGACUUAAACCUUAAUGUUUUGAUUUUGUUGAAUGCUUUUAAAUCCACAAUGAAAGAACUGGAGGCGGAAUCGAUAGGAUGUCAGUG